rnacentral:lncRNA from 1 species
CUCAAAGUCUGUCAUCCAGUGAAAUUAUGCAACUUGUAUCUCAUACAAUGGGCAUUAAAGUGUCUGUAAAAUGGAUAUAUUUUCCAUAAAUAAAUCAUGCUUUUUCUGCCCUUGUCUGUCCUGGUUUUCUUGCCUCCUUGCUAGCCAUCACUCUAUCCCAAGGUCUGUGAAAACAAACCCGUAUAUCAAUUAUCUAUAACCCUCCCCUUACCUCUUCAUCUUUUAUUCUCUGCCUUUUUAUAGCAAACAAAUUUAGCCAUCAUUCAGACAUUUUGCCUCCCAGCAUUCAAAUAAAUCAGUGAUAAUUGGUUUCUCUUUCCUUUAAUUUGGAAUUGCAAUAGUUUAUUUGGUUUGUUUAGAGACAAAUAGAGGUGGCCCCCAUCAAGUGACAGAAAAAAGCAGGCCUUCACUGACCUUUCCUAUCACUCCCCAGGUUUGUUUGCAAGGACACAGACAUACAAGUGGGCACAUAUAAUAUGAGUUCCGACAUCAUAUAAAAGGAUAUUUAGCCAAGAAACACGGCAUGUUAGUUGUUGAAACCUUCUUUGCAUUCCCUGAAACAAAUGACAUUAUUGCAAGUAUUUUCCUUCCUAAGCAGUAAAUAAAAAGUCUUUUAUGUUGACAAUGAUAAUAUUAUAUUUUUAAAUCUAUUUGCAUUUUGGUAUUCUGUGGAUUUUAAUGCUUCCUAUAAAUCUCAUGGCUGAGACAUAUUAAGCUUCACUCAGUGAGAAACAGCCUAUUUUAUCACAGGCUUGGACAGCUACUGCAAUCUUGUGCUACAUUUUACCUGUGGGAUUUUUAAGCAGCCAUCAGUGGUAAACAAAUUCUCCAAGAGAAAUGAUUUCUUUUUCUGCUUUUGUAUGUGUGCAUUUUGGCAUGUGGAUAGGAAAGAACCCAAGAAGAUGUUCAUUUUGCCGCAUGAUCAGAAUGGAUUUCCAGGAAGGUCACUGUUCCUGCACAAGCCCUUCAGAUGUGUUUGAUAUGUCUCCAUUGUCACCAAGUCAUAACAAAGAAAGCUGACUUCAAUGCUUGACUCACAAGAUAAUGCUGAUUUCUCAAAAAGCAGUAAUGUCACCAUCUGAACAAACCUAUUAAAUCAAAAGGGUGGCUUGGAGUUGUACAUAAUAAGGUGAGUACAAAUAGAGUUUUAGGAGCUAGGAAUCCACUCUUUAGAUGCUCUAAGCCCCAACCCUAUUUUGAUAUCGAAUCCAAUGAAUAUUGGCCAUAGGAAAUUUAGUUGUUAUGGUCAUUGACUGCUCAACCACAAUGAUUACUCUUUUUGCACUGCAGAGCUAGUAGGGCCAAGGUCAUUUGUGUUGAAUCCCUGGAUGGACCAGUUAGCUUUAAACAAAAGAACAAGAAAUAUUAUAGGAUCAUUGAGUUAGAACUGGAAAGUAUUUCAGCCAGA